rnacentral:rRNA from 1 species
GCAGUAGCCGCGGGAAUACGGAGGGGGCUAGCGUUGUUCGGAAUUACUGGGCGUAAAGCGCACGUAGGCGGCUUGGUAAGUUAGAGGUAAAAGCCUGGAGCUCAACUCCAGAAUUGCCUUUAAGACUGCCGAGCUAGCAGGUGAGAGAGGUAAGUGGAAUUCCGAGUGUAGAGGUGAAAUUCGUAGAUAUUCGGAAGAACACCAGUGGCGAAGGCGGCUUACUGGCUCAUACUGGACGCUGAGGUGCGAAAGCGUGGGGAGCAAACAGGAUUAGAUACCCGAGUAUUCCCUGUCUCUUAUAC